rnacentral:rRNA from 1 species
AUUGAACGCUGGCGGCAGGCUUAACACAUGCAAGUCGAGCGAGCGGCGGACGGGUGAGUAAUGUCUGGGAAACUGCCUGAUGGAGGGGGCUAUCCACUGGAAACGGUAGCUAAUACCGCAUUCCAUCAGAUGCGCCUAGAUGGGUUUAUCUAGUAGGUGGGGUAAUGGCUCACCUAGGCGACGAUCCCUAGGUGGUCCGAGUGGGUGACCAGCCACACUGGGGCUGAGACACGGUCCAGACUCCUACGGUAGGCAGCAGUGGGGAAUAUUGCGCAAUGGGCGCAAGCCUGAUGCAGCCAUGCCGCGUGUGUGAAGAAGGCCUUCGGGUUGUAAAGCACUUUCAGCAAGGAGGCGUUACUCGCAGAAGAAGCACCGGCUAACUCCGUGCCAGCCGCCGCGGUAAUAC